AAUUCUCUGUGGCUUUUGAUUAAUUUUCUUUGCUGUAUAACCUUUACAUAUAUGCAAGUAUAAGAAGUAAUAAUAACAAAACACGGAAAAUGUCUUUUCAUCUAGACCCAUUUCUCCCCAUAUACCUAAAAGUGGAGGUAACUGAAAUGGUGAUUAAAAUGAAAUGUAAUGUUUUUUUGAAAAUUCGAAGUGCUUACCAACAACAAAAACGAGACUAUCCAAACAAACGCCAGUUGGCAUAUUAUCCACUUUCUUCUGUACAAUUGAAUAUAGAUGUUGUGACAAGCUAUCAAAAUAUAUCUAUAGAAAAAAUGCUUA